UUAAAAGAGAGAGGUUCAUCAACAUUUCCUUAUUUCAUACUUCAUGUAAGAGUAACCAUUUCUCAGGCUGGACAAAGUGGAAAUAGUGCUAAAAACAUCAAAGUGAAACACUGAUUACGAUCUAAUAGGGGUCGUGAAGCUUAAACAACUUUCUUCUUAAGACGCCACAAGAAAUGGAGUUUUCAGAUUCUCUUGCUGCAGUUAUUUGGAUCAACAUCCGUGUCUGCCUCCCGUUGACUUUUCUGCUCAUGGCUUUCUGCUGCAUGGUCCGAUUGGAUCGUGUUCCCGUCUCCUACUUCAUCAACCUUCUGCUCUCCAAUCUAGUCCAGCUCAUAAUUCUGAUCGCUCUACCUCUACUUCCGGAUUAUUACUGGAAACGUCUAAUCUCUGUCCAUAUCUAUGCCUGUUGUGCUCUGGCCAGCCUUUACUUCAGGAUGAUCAUAGCUUUAGAAAGAUGUUUUUUCAUCUCCAAUCCACUAUCAAACUGUCUGACACAAACCAAAUACAUGGUGAUACUCUGUGCUUUGGUAUGGGUGUGUAGUUUUGGAUUUCUUCUUCUUUUUAAAUUUGCCAAAGGACUGCUUGUGCUAGUUAUUGCCAUCUUUCCAGCCCCUGUCUUUAUUGUUUGUCUCUUUUGGGCCCUUAAAUGGAUAAAUACCAACAUGUCAGUGU